rnacentral:lncRNA from 1 species
CUUCAGUGGCCAGGAAUUAAGAAGACAGAAAUGAUGUUUGAUGAGGGAAAUUUGUGACCUGGGUCCAGGGGGGUUCUGUUCCCUCUUCUGAACCUUGACAUGCCUUCAGCACAAACAUCCACAGCACAUCCUUCCGGUGGAGAGAACUUGGAGCGGACUCCAGUGAAGAAUGCCUGGAAACGCACCUAAGUCCACCCUCACUGAUAGGACUCAGAGCGCUUGUCCCUCUGCCAUGUCUUCUGUGAAGGGAAGUGACUCACGGCAGUUAUGAAACUCCAAGGCCAAUGUGUAUUUACAUUUUUGCCCUCUCACUACCCUGGCCAGGAAGAUUUCCAGCUUGAGGAGCGGUGGAAGCCUUUUCUCCAGCAAGAUCUUACAGAACAAGCAUCAUCUAGAACAUUUGGCGAAAGCUGGCAUGGGUAGCUCAGAGACUCACAUUAGCUACCCGCUCUCUCCCCAGAUGCCACCAUAGUAACCUUAAGGUUGCAGGGAACUCAGCGUGAACAUCACCAGUUCAACAGCUUCAUUCAAAAAGGAGAAAAACAGCUGGGAGCAGUGACUCACACCUGUAAUCCCAGCACUUUGGGAGGCCGAGGCAGGUAGAUCACCUGAGGCAGGAGUUCGAGACCAGCCUGGCCAACAUGGUGAAACC